GCCCUUGUAGCUCAAUGGUAGAGCUUCGGCCUGUCAAGCCAAAGGCCAGUGGUUCGAUCCCCGUGCGGGACA
rfam:Phytophthora infestans T30-4 supercont1.27 genomic scaffold, whole genome shotgun sequence.